rnacentral:rRNA from 1 species
AAGGGCACCACAAGAACGCGUGGAGCAUGUGGCUUAAUUUGACUCAACGCGGGAAAUCUUACCGGGUCCGGACACACUGAGGAUUGACAGGCGCUUGCAUAGCGCUGAAGCUCUUUGAGCUUCUGCGCCAUUGCUUUCAAAUAUGCUAGUCCUUUCAUGAUUGUGUGAUAGGUGGUGCAUGGCCGUUCUUAGUUCGUGGAGUGAUCUGUCUGCUUAAUUGCGUUUCACAAGGGACUUGCAUGGCAUACGUUGAGGCAUGGCGCCCCCUCUCCACUGCUGCCUUCGGGAGUUUGUGGGAGGGUGUUCGCGCCUGUCGUCAAUAGCCAACAGUCCCGAAGGCAACGAACGUGACCGCAGCCUCUUGUUACCUCUCUGUUUUCCACUUCGGGGCAGGGGCAGCUUGUCUGUCCCGUGUCCCCGAUGAGAGAGGUAAACUAGAGGGACCGCCGUGUUUUCAAACCGGAGGAAGGUUGCGGCAAUAACAGGUCUGUGAUGCCCUUAGAUGUUCCGGGCUGCACACGUGCUACAAUGAUCAUUGCAGUGAGCAUCUUCACAAGUUCGUGGGAUGUCUGCGCUGAGCCCAUUUUGCCAGCUGGUGCGGAUGCCGCGGCGCAGAGCGCUGCCCAUGGUUCGCUGUGGGUGGCUGCGAUGUGCUGUGUGCACCGCGUCGCUGGCUUUGGGCCUGGCGCGCAUCCGUUAUCACGACACGCCUGCUUCGAAAGUAAGCAGGUAAUCAAUUCGAAGUAAUGAUUUCCUCUCGCACAUCUCAGCGCUUCGGCCGUCGCGGGUUUCGGCCCGUGUCACGGCCGGCGUGUGCUCCAUAACUUCGUGGUGGGGACAGACCCUUGUUAAUUGUUGGUCUCGGUCUCAACUAGGAAUGCCUUGUACGGGUCUUUGGUUCAACAAACCACCCGGAAUAUGUCCCUGCCCUUUGUACACACCGCCCGUC